UUGGAGGGCAAGUCUGGUGCCAGCAGCCGCGGUAAUUCCAGCUCCAAUAGCGUAUAUUAAAGUUGUUGCAGUUAAAAAGCUCGUAGUUGAAUUUCGGGGUUCCACCGUUGGUCGGGCUUUGUCUGUACUGGUGUGUAGAAUUUCUACCUUCUGGGGAACCAUCAUGCUAUUAAUUUAGCGUGGUGGGAAACCAGGACCUUUACCUUGAAAAAAUUAGUGUGUUCAAAGCAGGCUUAUGUCUGAAUACAUUAGCGUGGAAUAAUAGAAUAGGACGGUGGUCCUGUUUUGUUGGUUUCUGAAUCACCGUAAUGAUUAAUAGGGAUAGUUGGGGGCAUUAGUAUUCAAUUGUCAGAGGUGAAAUUCUUGGAUUUAUUGAAGACUAACCUCUGCGAAAGCAUUUGCCAAGGAUGUUUUCAUUAAUCAAGAACGAAAGUUAGGGGAUCGAAGACGAUCAGAUACCGUCGUAGUCUUAAACAUAAACUAUGCCGACUAGGGAUCGGACGAUGUUAAUUUUUCUUGACUCGUUCGGCGCCUUACGAGAAAC
rnacentral:rRNA from 1 species